rnacentral:tRNA from 1 species
ACCUGGCUGGCUCAGUCUUAGAGCAUGCAACUCUUGAUUUUGGGGUUGUGAGUUCAAGCCCCAUGUUAGGUG